UAGGGAAGGGGUGGAGUACCUAGGGCCUAGCCAGAGGGCUGAGCCUCUUAUGACUGGAAGUGGAACGGGAGAACCAAAAGCAGCCUGGGGAGAAGCCUGGGCACCAGUUACCCUGAAAGAAGAGUGAGGUUGAAGAAGAACCCAGGAGGGGUGGAAGAUGCUGUACUGGUGACUAGUAUUGUGGUGGACAUUGGGACACUAAUCCCACUGACUACACGUGACUGGACUGAAGGGCUGAAUCACUAA
rnacentral:lncRNA from 1 species